GCGGGUGUAGUUUAGUGGCAGAACAUCAGCUUCCCAAGCUGAGGGUGUGGGUCCGAUUCCCAUCAUCCGCUCCA
rnacentral:tRNA from 2 species